rnacentral:rRNA from 1 species
GACAGAGGGUGCAAACGUUGUUCGGAAUUACUGGGCGUAAAGCGCGUGUAGGCGGCUUGGCAAGUCGGGUGUGAAAGCCCCGGGCUCAACCUGGGAAGUGCACUCGAAACUGCUUGGCUUGAGUUACUGGAGAGGGAAGCGGAAGUUCUCGGUGUAGAGGUGAAAUUCGUAGAUAUCGAGAGGAACACCGGUGGCGAAGGCGG